rnacentral:rRNA from 1 species
GACGAACGCUGGCGGCGUGCUUAACACAUGCAAGUCGAACGGUAAGGCCCUUCGGGGUACACGAGUGGCGAACGGGUGAGUAACACGUGGGUGAUCUGCCCUGCACUUCGGGAUAAGCCUGGGAAACUGGGUCUAAUACCGGAUAGGACCACUGCCUGCAUGGGUGGUGGUGGAAAGCUUUUGCGGUGUGGGAUGGGCCCGCGUCCUCUCAGCUUGUUGGUGGGGGGCUGGCCUACCAAGGCGACGACGGGUAGCCGGCCUGAAGGAGUGACCGGCCACACUGGGACUGGGAUGCGGCCCAGACUCCUACGGGAGGCAGCAGUGGGGAAUAUUGCACAAUGGGCGCAAGCCUGAUGCAGCGACGCCGCGUGAGGGAUGACGGCCUUCGGGUUGUAAACCUCUUUCAGCACCGACGAAGCGCAAGUGACGGUAGGUGCAGAAGAAGGACCGGCCAACUACGUGCCAGCCGCCGCGGUAA